UACGAAGGGGGCUAGCGUUGCUCGGAAUCACUGGGCGUAAAGGGUGCGUAGGCGGGUUUUUAAGUCAGAGGUGAAAUCCUGGAGCUCAACUCCAGAACUGCCUUUGAUACUGAGAAUCUUGAGUACGGGAGAGGUGAGUGGAACUGCGAGUGUAGAAGUGAAAUUCGUAGAUAUUCGCAAGAACACCAGUGGCGAAGGCGGCUCACUGGCCCGUUACUGACGCUGAGGCACGAAAGCGUGGGGAGCAAACAGG
rnacentral:rRNA from 1 species